rnacentral:rRNA from 1 species
CAUAUUAUUAAGCGGAGGAAAAGAAACUAACAAGGGAUUUCCCUAGUAACGGCGAGUGAAGCGGAAAGAGCUCAAAGUGAAAAUCGUGUCCCCAGGCGGGUACUCGAGUUGUAAUCUAUAGACGUAUGGUCUGCGCGCGACCUGGGUAUAAGUCCUUUGGAACAGGGCGUCAUAGAGGGUGAGAACCCCGUGCUUGACCCGGAGUUCGCCGCGUACGAUAUGCGUUCGACGAGUCGUGUUGCCCGGGAUCGCAACACUAACUGGGUGGUAAAUCUCAUCUAAAGCUAAAUACUGGCGAGAGACCGAUAGCGAACAAGUAGCGUGAGCGAAAGAUGAAAAGAACUUUGAAAAGAGAGUUAAACAGUACUUGAAAUCGCUAGGAGGGAAGUUAUGAAAACUAGUUUUAGCAUCACUUUGGUUCUGCCGGAGAUGCCCCACGAGAAGGUAGGCACGCUUGCGUGCCCUUACAGCUCUGUGGUGGCGACGGCGGUCUGGAGUGAGGAAUUUUCAUUGACAAGGCACUUCAAAGCACCUGUGCAUGCCUGCCACGCAAUGCUGGACAGCAAAGCUGUGUUGUUGUUUCGCGGUAUGUAUUUGCGCGGGAUUCGCUAUUCGUGCCUUUGCGAUGCUAAAUAAAUGGUUUUCAUUGACCCGUCUUGAAACACGGACCAAGGAGUCUAACAUAUAUGCAAGUAUUUGGGUGUGUCAAACCCUGAUGCGCAAUGAAAGUGAAGGGUCCUUGUGACCUGAGGUAGGAACUCCUUAACCGGAGGGCACUAUCGACCGAUCGCCGCUUGCGGUAGAUUUGAGUAAGAACAUAUCUGUUGGGACCCGAAAGAUGGUGAUCUAUGCCUGAACAGGGUGAAGCCAGGGGAAACUCUGGUGGAAGCUCGUAGCGGUACUGACGUGCAAAUCGUUCGUCUGAUUUGGGUAUAGGGGCGAAAGACUAAUCGAACCAUCUAGUAGCUGGUUCCCUCCGAAGUUUCCCUCAGGAUAGCUGGAGCUCAACCAUCAGUUUUAUCAGGUAAAGCUAAUGAUUAUAGGUAUCGGGGAUGAAACAUCCUUGACCUAUUCUCAAACUUU